UACGUAGGGUGCGAGCGUUGUCCGGAAUUAUUGGGCGUAAAGAGCUCGUAGGCGGUUUGUCGCGUCGACUGUGAAAACCUACAGCUUAACUGUGGGCUUGCAGUCGAUACGGGCAGACUUGAGUUCGGUAGGGGAGACUGGAAUUCCUGGUGUAGCGGUGAAAUGCGCAGAUAUCAGGAGGAACACCGGUGGCGAAGGCGGUUCUCUGGGCCUGUACUGACGCUGAGGAGCGAAAGCGUGGGGAGCGAACAGG
rnacentral:rRNA from 1 species